rnacentral:rRNA from 1 species
GGUUAAGCGACUAAGCGUACACGGUGGAUGCCCUGGCAGUCAGAGGCGAUGAAGGACGUGCUAAUCUGCGAAAAGCGUCGGUAAGGUGAUAUGAACCGUUAUAACCGGCGAUGUCCGAAUGGGGAAACCCAGUGCAAUUCGUUGCACUAUCGUUAACUGAAUACAUAGGUUAACGAGGCGAACCGGGGGAACUGAAACAUCUAAGUACCCCGAGGAAAAGAAAUCAACCGAGAUUCCCCCAGUAGCGGCGAGCGAACGGGGAGCAGCCCAGAGUCUGAAUCAGCUUGUGUGUUAGUGGAACGGUCUGGAAAGUCCGACGGUACAGGGUGAUAGUCCCGUACACCAAAAUGCACAGGCUGUGAACUCGAAGAGUAGGGCGGGACACGUGGUAUCCUGUCUGAAUAUGGGGGGACCAUCCUCCAAGGCUAAAUACUCCUGACUGACCGAUAGUGAACCAGUACCGUGAGGGAAAGGCGAAAAGAACCCCGGCGAGGGGAGUGAAAAAGAACCUGAAACCGUGUACGUACAAGCAGUGGGAGCACCUUCGGGUGUGACUGCGUACCUUUUGUAUAAUGGGUCAGCGACUUAUAUUCUGUAGCAAGGUUAACCGUAUAGGGGAGCCGCAGGGAAACCGAGUCUUAACUGGGCGUUAAGUUGCAGGGUAUAGACCCGAAACCCGGUGAUCUAGCCAUGGGCAGGUUGAAGGUUGGGUAACACUAACUGGAGGACCGAACCGACUAAUGUUGAAAAAUUAGCGGAUGACUUGUGGCUGGGGGUGAAAGGCCAAUCAAACCGGGAGAUAGCUGGUUCUCCCCGAAAGCUAUUUAGGUAGCGCCUCGUGAAUUCAUCUUCGGGGGUAGAGCACUGUUUCGGCUAGGGGGUCAUCCCGACUUACCAACCCGAUGCAAACUACGAAUACCGAAGAAUGUUAUCACGGGAGACACACGGCGGGUGCUAACGUCCGUCGUGAAGAGGGAAACAACCCAGACCGCCAGCUAAGGUCCCAAAGUCAUGGUUAAGUGGGAAACGAUGUGGGAAGGCACAGACAGCCAGGAUGUUGGCUUAGAAGCAGCCAUCAUUUAAAGAAAGCGUAAUAGCUCACUGGUCGAGUCGGCCUGCGCGGAAGAUGUAACGGGGCUAAACCAUGCACCGAAGCUGCGGCAGCGACACUAUGUGUUGUUGGGUAGGGGAGCGUUCUGUAAGCCUGCGAAGGUGACCUGUGAGGGUUGCUGGAGGUAUCAGAAGUGCGAAUGCUGACAUAAGUAACGAUAAAGCGGGUGAAAAGCCCGCUCGCCGGAAGACCAAGGGUUCCUGUCCAACGUUAAUCGGGGCAGGGUGAGUCGACCCCUAAGGCGAGGCCGAAAGGCGUAGUCGAUGGGAAACAGGUUAAUAUUCCUGUACUUGGUGUUACUGCGAAGGGGGGACGGAGAAGGCUAUGUUAGCCGGGCGACGGUUGUCCCGGUUUAAGCAUGUAGGCUGGUUAUCCAGGCAAAUCCGGAUAAUCAAGGCUGAGGUGUGAUGACGAGGCACUACGGUGCUGAAGUAACAAAUGCCCUGCUUCCAGGAAAAGCCUCUAAGCAUCAGGUAACAUCAAGUCGUACCCCAAACCGACACAGGUGGUCAGGUAGAGAAUACCAAGGCGCUUGAGAGAACUCGGGUGAAGGAACUAGGCAAAAUGGUGCCGUAACUUCGGGAGAAGGCACGCUGGUGUGUAGGUGAAGCCCCUGCGGGUGGAGCUGAGACCAGUCGAAGAUACCAGCUGGCUGCAACUGUUUAUUAAAAACACAGCACUGUGCAAACACGAAAGUGGACGUAUACGGUGUGACGCCUGCCCGGUGCCGGAAGGUUAAUUGAUGGGGUUAUCCGUAAGGAGAAGCUCUUGAUCGAAGCCCCGGUAAACGGCGGCCGUAACUAUAACGGUCCUAAGGUAGCGAAAUUCCUUGUCGGGUAAGUUCCGACCUGCACGAAUGGCGUAAUGAUGGCCAGGCUGUCUCCACCCGAGACUCAGUGAAAUUGAACUCGCUGUGAAGAUGCAGUGUACCCGCGGCAAGACGGAAAGACCCCGUGAACCUUUACUAUAGCUUGACACUGAACAUUGAGCCUUGAUGUGUAGGAUAGGUGGGAGGCUUUGAAGCGUGGACGCCAGUCUGCGUGGAGCCAACCUUGAAAUACCACCCUUUAAUGUUUGAUGUUCUAACGUUGGCCCCUUACCGGGGUUGCGGACAGUGUCUGGUGGGUAGUUUGACUGGGGCGGUCUCCUCCCAAAGCGUAACGGAGGAGCACGAAGGUUAGCUAAUCCUGGUCGGACAUCAGGAGGUUAGUGCAAUGGCAUAAGCUAGCUUGACUGCGAGCGUGACGGCGCGAGCAGGUGCGAAAGCAGGUCAUAGUGAUCCGGUGGUUCUGAAUGGAAGGGCCAUCGCUCAACGGAUAAAAGGUACUCCGGGGAUAACAGGCUGAUACCGCCCAAGAGUUCAUAUCGACGGCGGUGUUUGGCACCUCGAUGUCGGCUCAUCACAUCCUGGGGCUGAAGUAGGUCCCAAGGGUAUGGCUGUUCGCCAUUUAAAGUGGUACGCGAGCUGGGUUUAGAACGUCGUGAGACAGUUCGGUCCCUAUCUGCCGUGGGCGCUGGAGAAUUGAGGGGGGCUGCUCCUAGUACGAGAGGACCGGAGUGGACGCAUCACUGGUGUUCGGGUUGUCAUGCCAAUGGCACUGCCCGGUAGCUAAAUGCGGAAGAGAUAAGUGCUGAAAGCAUCUAAGCACGAAACUUGCCCCGAGAUGAGUUCUCCCUGAGACUUUAAGUCUCCUGAAGGAACGUUGAAGACGACGACGUUGAUAGGCCGGGUGUGUAAGCGCAGCGAUGCGUUGAGCUAACCGGUACUAAUGAACCGUGAGGCUUAACCUU